GAGUGUAUUUGACUAUUGAUGCUUCAGUGUCUAUACUCGGUCUAGGUGCCAGUGUAGUAGACUAUCAACACUUCACCGUCUAUACUGGGUCUAGGUGCAAGUGUAGUAGACUAUCAACACUUCAAUGUCCACACUGGGUCUAGGUGCCAGUGUAGUAGACUAUCAACACUUCAAUGUCCACACUGGGUCUAGGUGCUAGUGUAGUAGACUAUCAACACUUCAAUGCCCAUACUGAGUCUAGGUGCUAGUGUAGUAGACUAUCAACACUUCAAUGCCCAUACAGGGUCUAGCUGCCAGUGUAGUACACUAUCAACACUUCAGUGUCCAUACUGAGUCUAGGUGCCAGUGUAGUAGACUAUCAACACUUCAAUGCCCAUACUGGGUCUAGGUGCCAGUGUAGUAGACUAUCAACACUUCAAUGCCCAUACUGAGUCUAGGUGCCAGUGUAGUAGACUAUCAACACUUCAAUGUCCAUACUGGGUCUAGCUGCCAGUGUAGUACACUAUCAACACUUCAGUGUCCACACUGAGUCAAGGUGCCAGUGUAGUAGACU